rnacentral:rRNA from 1 species
GUGAGGAAUUUUCCGCAAUGCGCGAAAGCGUGACGGAGCAAUGCGACGUGGAGGAUGACGGCCUGUGGGUUGUAAACUCCUUUUCUCAGAGAAGAAGUUCUGACGGUAUCUGAGGAAUAAGCACCGGCUAACUCCGUGCCAGCAGCCGCGGUAAUACGGGGGGUGCAAGCGUUAUCCGGAAUUAUUGGGCGUAAAGCGUCCUGAGGUGGCUUGAAAAGUCGUCCGUGAAAGCUCAGGGCUUAACCUUGAAACUGCGGUCGAAACUCCCAAGCUUUGAGUAGAGUAGAGGCAGAGGGAAUUUCCGGAGGAAUGGUGAAAUAUGUAGAUAUCGGAAAGAAGGCCAAAGGCGAAAGCACUCUGCUGGGCUCAUACUGACACUGAACGACGAAAGCUAAGGGAGCGAAAGGGAUUAGAUACCCCGGUAGUCC